AUUGAACGCUGGCGGCAGGCCUAACACAUGCAAGUCGAGCGCAGCGGCGGACGGGUGCGUAAUGCCUAGGAAUCUGCCUGGUAGUGGGGGACCCCGUCCGGGAACGGGCGCUAAUACCGCAUACUUUCAUGUUCGCUUAGGUUGGAUUAGCUAGUUGGGGGGGUAACGGCCUACCAAGGCGACGAUGCAUAACUGGUCUGAGAGGAUGAUCAGUCACACUGGGACUGAGACACGGUCCAGACUCCUACGGGAGGCAGCAGUGGGGAAUAUUGGACAAUGGGCGAAAGCCUGAUCCAGCCAUGCCGCGUGUAUGAAGAAGGCCUUCGGGUUGUAAAGUACUUUCAGCAGGGAGGCGGUAUCAGCAGAAGAAGCAACGGCUAACUCCGUGCCAGCAGCCGCGGUAAUUC
rnacentral:rRNA from 1 species